GUGCCAGCAGCCGCGGUAAUACGUAGGGGGCAAGCGUUGUCCGGAUUUAUUGGGCGUAAAGAGCGUGUAGGCGGCCAGGUAGGUCUGCUGUGAAAACUCGAGGCUUAACCUCGAGCUGUCGGCGGAAACCAUCUGGCUAGAGUCCGGAAGAGGAGAAUGGAAUUCCCGGUGUAGCGGUGAAAUGCGCAGAUAUCGGGAAGAACACCCGUGGCGAAGGCGGUUCUCUGGGACGGUACUGACGCUGAGACGCGAAAGCGUGGGGAGCGAACAGGAUUAGAUACCCUGGUAGUCC
rnacentral:rRNA from 1 species